UCGAUAGAUAGCGUUCAUUGGCGCACAGGACUCCUCUUGGGCCAAUCAGCACCAAUGUUUUGAAGCACAGUAUGUUACCCGCCAUGAAACAAGAAGUGCUUGCCUGUUCAAGUUGCCGACUGUCGUGACCAGUGACCACCACCAUGGAUUCAGCUGGGACAUAUACGGGACAGAAGAACACACGUGUGUUUAUCCGGUGGAGAAAGGCUCAUGAUGCUAAAUGCUGUCAUCAAAGGCUUUGAAACUUUUGUGGUGGAGCAGGACCUGCAAGGAAAGAUGAUGGUAGCAUUUGUUGGGGAAAAAAGGUUUUAGGGAUUUUACUCAAAUAUAAAGAUCUGAAAUGUCUGCAGACUGGUGUGAGCACUGAGGAUGAGGAGCUCAGAGCUGAAUCCUGGAAGUGGUGCCAUGGAUGAGACCCUCCAUCUCUCCGCCUGUCCUUACGAGAACCUCUAUCGCCCCAUCUGCCCUUAUUGCCUCAGAUUGCACUCAGGUCUAAGUCUCGUGGCCCUCUAUCAGAAUGCAGAGUUUUGAGGAGAUUG